AUCCUUUUGUAGUUCAUAAGCGUGAUGAUUGGGUUUUUAUUCACAUGCGUGAGACGUGCCUCCCACAAACCUUGUCAAGACAUCAGCACAUUACCCAUCUGAUG